CUGGCGGCAAGCCUAACACAUGCAAGUCGAGCGGCAUCGAAAGAAAAUAUUUUUUUUUCUUGUCGGCAAGCGGCAAACGGGUGAGUAAUAUCUGGGGAUCUACCUAAAAGAGGGGGACAACUAUUGGAAACGAUGGCUAAUACCGCAUAAUGUUGGAAAACCAAAGUAGGGGACCUUUUGGCCUUACGCUUUUAGAUGAACCCAGACGAGAUUAGCUUGAUGGUGAGGUAAUGGCUUACCAAUGCUACGAUCUCUAGCUGGUCUGAGAGGAUAACCAGCCACACUGGAACUGAGAUACGGUCCAGACUCCUACGGGAGGCAGCAGUGGGGAAUAUUGCACAAUGGGCGAAAGCCUGAUGCAGC
rnacentral:rRNA from 1 species